CAUAAAGGUAGCUGGAAGCAAGAUCACAUAGGACCUUGCAUAUCAUUGAAAGUCUUGAAUUUUUAUCUGAGGGAGGUGGAAACUAUUGGAAAGGUGGAAGUCAAAAGUUCUAAGAAAAAGGAAAGUAAACAUCAGCAUUUUGGUGAUCUUGAGAUGUGCAAGAUGAUACAAGACCAUAACAGUGUCUGAUUCUGGAGAAUGAAAGGGUCUCACCCUGUCACCCAAGCUGGAGUGCAGUGGUGUAAUCACAGCUUGCUACAGCCUCAACCUCCCAGGGUCAAGCAAUCCUCCUGCCUCAGCCUCCUGAGUAGCUGGGACUACAGGCACUCACCACCACACCCGGCUAAUUAUUUUUUAUUUUUUGUAGAGAUGGGGUCCCACUAUGUUCCCCAGGCUCAAUUAUUUAAAAGAAAAAGGAAAAUAAAGAAAUGUCCUUGUCCUAGUAGAA